ACCCAAUACAGCUGGAAUACCACUAUUUUACCUGCUGGGCAUUUAGGGACUGCUAGUCCCAGUUAAGGUUUAUUCACACAGUAUUACGCUGUCUAAAAGGGUUGAUGUCUUGGGGUCCUAGGUCACAGGAUACCCUGAGGAUUUACAGAUAUUUAGGGGACUCUGCCCCAACUCAGGGGUUCCCAUUACUCAUAUAAUACGCAACCCAGUAUUGGCCUGCUCUGUCUGUGCCCCUAUGAUUGGCCUACUAUGUCUGUGCCCUUCUGUCUGACCUGCUCUACCUGUGCCCAUCGUUGGCCUGAUCUAUCUGUGCC